UAGCAACCGUCUUUGUGCAAA
rnacentral:miRNA from 1 species